GUGCUUUACCCCUUGGAGUUCUCCUUUAAAGUCUGUAUAUAUUUAUAUAUAUAUAUAUAAAUAUAUACAGACUUUAAAGGAGAACUCCAAGGGGUAAAGCAC